UCUUCCGCAAUGGACGAAAGUCUGACGGAGCAACGCCGCGUGAGUGAUGAAGGUCUUCGGAUCGUUAAACUCUGUUGUUAGGGAAGAACAAGUACCGUUGGAAUAGGGCGGUACCUUGACGGUACCUAACCAGAAAGCCACGGCUAACUCCGCGCCAUCAGCCGCGGUAAUACGUAGGUGGCAAGCGUUGUCCGGAAUUAUUGGGCGUAAAGCGCGCGCAGGCGGUUUCGUAAGUCUGAUGUGAAAGCCCCCGGCUCAACCGGGGAGGGUCAUUGGAAACUGGGGAACUUGAGUGCAGAAGAGGAGAGUGGAAUUCCACGUGUAGCGGUGAAAUGCGUAGAGAUGUGGAGGAACACAAGUGGCGAAGGCGACUCUCUGGUCUGUAACUGACGCUGAGGCGCGAAAGCGUGGGGAGCGAACAG
rnacentral:rRNA from 1 species